CGAGUAACCUGCCCUUCACUCUGGGAUAACUCCGGGAAAACCGGGGCUAAUACUGGAUAUGACUCGAACAGGCAUCUGUUUCGGGUGGAAAGAUUUAUUGGUGAAGGAUGGACUCGCGGCCUAUCAGCUUGUUGGUGAGGUAAUGACUCACCAAGGCGACGACGGGUAGCCGGCCUGAGAGGGCGAUCGGCCACACUGGGACUGAGACACGGCCCAGACUCCUACGGGANACA
rnacentral:rRNA from 1 species